rnacentral:rRNA from 2 species
AAGUCUGAUGGAGCAACGCCGCGUGAGUGAAGAAGGCUUUCGGGUCGUAAAACUCUGUUGUUGGAGAAGAAUGGUCGGCAGAGUAACUGUUGUCGGCGUGACGGUAUCCAACCAGAAAGCCACGGCUAACUACGUGCCAGCAGCCGCGGUAAUACGUAGGUGGCAAGCGUUAUCCGGAUUUAUUGGGCGUAAAGCGAGCGCAGGCGGUUUUUUAAGUCUGAUGUGAAAGCCCUCGGCUUAACCGAGGAAGUGCAUCGGAAACUGGGAAACUUGAGUGCAGAAGAGGACAGUGGAACUCCAUGUGUAGCGGUGAAAUGCGUAGAUAUAUGGAAGAACACCAGUGGCGAAGGCGGCUGUCUGGUCUGUAACUGACGCUGAGGCUCGAAAGCAUGGGUAGCGAACAGGAUUAGAUACCCUGGUAGUCCAUGCCGUAAACGAUGAAUGCUAGGUGUUGGAGGGUUUCCGCCCUUCAGUGCCGCAGCUAACGCAUUAAGCAUUCCGCCUGGGGAGUACGACCGCAAGGUUGAAACUCAAAGGAAUUGACGGGGGCCCGCACAAGCGGUGGAGCAUGUGGUUUAAUUCGAAGCAACGCGAAGAACCUUACCAGGUCUUGACAUCUUUUGAUCAC